UACGUAGGUGACAAGCGUUGUCCGGAUUUACUGGGCGUAAAGAGCGCGCAGGCGGUCGUUCAAGUCGAGUGUGAAAGCCCCCCGGCUCAACUGGGGAGGGUCACUCGAUACUGAUCGACUCGAAGGCAGGAGAGGGUAGUGGAAUUCCCGGUGUAGUGGUGAAAUUCGUAGAUAUUCGCAAGAACACCAGUGGCGAAGGCGGCCAACUGGUCCGGUACUGACGCUGAGGUGCGAAAGCGUGGGGAG
rnacentral:rRNA from 1 species